CACAGGCCUACAUUGAACAUGGGAGUCCUGUCUGAACUCUUUUCUCUUCUGCUGCUCUGGAGCCCAGCCACCACUGGGAGCCCGGUGAUGACACAGUCUCCAGCCUUCUUGUCUGUGGUUAUAGGAGAGAGCAUCUCUAUCAUUUGCAAGGCCAGUGAGAGUGUUAGUGAUUAUGUGACUUGGUAUCAGCAGAAACCAGGUCAGCUCCCCAAGAUUCUCAUAUAUGAUGCUGAUAACCAAUAUUCUGGUGUUCCAGACCGUUUCACUGGAAUACAGAGUGGAACAGAAUUCACUUUAAAAAUCAGCAAGCUAACAGUAGAUGAUAUUGGCAGCUACUAUUGUCAACAGGGCUACACAGUCCCGCUCACAGUGUUUCAGCCCUGUGCAUAA